rnacentral:rRNA from 1 species
UGGGGAAUAUUGCACAAUGGGGGAAACCCUGAUCCAGCCAUGCCGCGUGUGUGAAGAAGGCCUUCGGGUUGUAAAGCACUUUCAGCGAGGAGGAAAGGUUGGCGCCUAAUACGUGUCAACUGUGACGUUACUCGCAGAAGAAGCACCGGCUAACUCCGUGC